GGCGGGUUACCCAAGUGGCCAAAGGGGGCAGACUGUAAAUCUGCUGGCGUAUGCCUUCGAAGGUUCGAAUCCUUCNCCCGCCA
rnacentral:tRNA from 1 species